rnacentral:misc_RNA from 1 species
GAAAACUUACAGACAGUGACUUUCUAUAAUUGGAGGCCUAAUUACAUGACUGAACUAGGUUAGUGAAGUGUACUGUUUCAUUAUUUUGUAAGAUGCCAAAACUGUUGCAUUAUUCUGUCUAUUCAUUGGACCUAGCAUCUUCUACGCGGCUGCCUAGCUUAACAAUAUCUUCAACAAAAAUCUUUCCGUCUGUAUCUUUGGAAAGGUUGCUGAUGAGUUCUUGAAUUCCUUCUUUGCCAAGAGUAUCCUUCAAGUACAU